GUGUCAGCAGCCGCGGUAAUACGGAGGGUGCGAGCGUUGUCCGGAUUUAUUGGGUUUAAAGGGUGCGUAGGCGGCCCGUUAAGUCAGCGGUGAAAGUCAGUGGCUCAACCAUUGGAGUGCCGUUGAUACUGUCGGGCUUGAGUUCGGGAAGGGUACAUGGAAUUUAUGGUGUAGCGGUGAAAUGCAUAGAUACCAUAAGGAACACCGAUAGCGUAGGCAUUGUACUGGCCCGAAACUGACGCUGAGGCACGAAAGCGCGGGUAGCGAACAGGAUUAGAUACCCUGGUAGUCCGCGCCGUAAACGAUGAUCACUCGCUGUUGUGCCCUCUGUGGUUCAGCGGCCAAGCGAAAGCGUUAAGUGAUCCACCUGGGGAGUACGCCGGCAACGGUGAA
rnacentral:rRNA from 1 species